rnacentral:lncRNA from 1 species
GUCAGAAAACUUCUGCUCAGUGUAGGAUUAAAUCACCGACUCUGAAAGUUUUGUUUCGGACUCGAGAAUUUAAGUAGUGGGCUAUUUUGUGGUGGUAGGCUGCCAUUCUAAUUUGAGCUAUUUCUCGGACCUUCUUCAGUAAAUCUAAGUCUGCACGCUGCCUUUUCGAGUUGGUCUGCCUUUCAAAAUUUUUAAUCCUCACUGAUGGAACCCCAACCUCCAUCGGUAUUACGGCUUCCAUGUCAAAGGUGAGACUAAAGGGAGUCUCAUCGGUGGGAGUUUUGGGUGUUGCUCG